rnacentral:rRNA from 1 species
UACGUUCCCGGGUCUCGUACACACCGCCCGUCACACCAUGGGAGCGGGUUUUACCAGAAGUAGGUAGCUUAACCGCAAGGGGGGCGCUUACCACGGUAGGAUUCGUGACUGGGGUG